AGUCUGUGUGCCACUAAAGAAAAUAAUGGCGGAAAAUGUAUACAUAUGUUAUUGUGUAAACGAAUGUAACAUUAUCAUUCUUUAUUAUUGCAAUUUUUUAACACUCGAACAACUUAAAUAGAAAAAUAAAUGCGCACGUGAGGAACAGCGCUCCAUCUACAAGCAUCCCUGACAACAUCUGCGAUGACAGCCCAUAAAAUGACACCUGGAGCGGGUUUCUCGAUGCGGCCUUACUCGGGAGCAACUGGAAGCCGGGACAAGUGUGGCUGUGGAAGGCACCAUCCGGCUGGCGACCUGCGGUCUGCAGAGACGCUCUGGCUCUGAGGACUGUGUUCCUAUCAGCAAGUAGCCUCUUUAAGGUUUCCCAAUGAAGCUGGUGGAUUUGUUGCACAGAGAGAUGUGGGACCACCAUCAUUGGUUCCAGCACAGCCGGCAGCCACUCGUCAGCUCAACCACCUGCCAAGAGUGCCAAUCUGCAGGAGUGAGCACUACUCCCUUCCAGUGACCACGGGCCGCUGUUCCGGACAGCACAUCAGCCACCAGGACUCAUUGACGAGGCAGUGACGUGUGUCGGCCAGCUGCAUCGGCUCAAGGCGACGAGUGCUCCAGUGGCAUCUGCUGCUGUAGCUAUUGGUCCGACCACUGCUCCAGCGACGUCUGAUUCGAAGAUGACUGCUUCAGUGAUGUCUGGUGCUGGUGCUGUAGCUGCUCCGACAACUGCUCCAGCGACGUCUGAUUCGAAGAUUACUGCUCCAGUGACAUCUGGUGCUGUAGCUAUUGCUCCGAUGACAACUGCUCCAGCGACGUCUGCUUCUAAGAUGAUUGCUCCAGUGACAUCUGGUGCUCUAGCUAUUUCUCCGACGACAACUGCUACAGCGACAUCAGCUUUGAAGAUGACUGCUCUAGUGAUGUCUGGUGCUGUAGCUAUUGCUCCGACGACAACUGCUACAGCGACAUCAGCUUCGAAGAUGACUGCUCCAGUGAUGUCUGCUGCUGUAGCUAUUGCUCCAACAAAUGCUCCAGCGAUGGCUACUUCGGCAAUAUAUGCUCCAGUGACGGUUACUCAAGUUAUGACUGCUGUGACAAGUGUUCCGACUACUGUACUUUCAGCAUCUGCUGCGAGUAUUUUAGUUGAUUUUGAUAUUGGAAAUUAUCGUGACACAGAAUUUACAGUUUUUAAACGAUUUUAUUAAAGAAAAAUUAUUAAAAGAGCCCUGGACACCACCCAAUAAUUACCAGUUCCAUACUUCACCGACCCGAAAUUUGAGUUUUCAGCACAAAUGGCUAGAAAGAUUUACGUGGCUGACGUAUUCAGAAGCUAAACAGGGAGCAUUCUGCCGAACAUGUGUGGUGAUGGGUCGUAGUGCUGGAGGUGAAGGCAAAGGACAACAUCAACAGUUGGGUAAACUUGUUAAUCAACCUUUCUGCAACUGGAAGAAAGCAAUCGAAACAUUCAAAGCCCAUUCUCAAACUGGCUACCACAAACAAUAUAGCCAAAUGGCUGACAAUUUCUUAAAAGUAAUGUCUGAAAAAUCUGUCAAUAUAAUAGAAAUGUUGUCAUCCGAAAAUAAGAAGCAGAAGCAUGAAAACUGGAUGAAACUGAAGUCAAUUGUAGGUGCCAUUAUUUUUUGUGGAAAACAAGUAAUUGCAUUACGAGGAAAACAAGACUCUGGACGUGUGAAAAAUUUGGAAAUUAACUGUUCUGAUGAUGAUAAUCUUAAGAAUGAAGGAAAAUUUUGUGCUCUUUUGAGAUACGCUGUUGAGUCAGGGAAUGAAUUUUUAAAGAGUCAUUUAAUUAAUGCCCCACAAAAUGCUUUAUAUUCAAGCCCAAAAUUCAAAACCAGUUAAUAGAAAUCUGUGGCGACAUCAUCAAACAAAAAAUUUUAAAAAUGUAAAGAAAGGCCAUUUUUGUGCUGUUUUGGCUGAUGAAACCACAGACAUUGCCCACGUGGAGCAAGUGUCUUUUUGUCUUCGCUACCCGAAUGUCAAUCAUUUAAACAAGCAUGAAGUCAGAGAAGCACUUUUGGAGUUUAUUCCGACUACUGACAUGGCAGGGAGAGGUUUGGCUAACCUUAUUGUAAGUGGUUUAAAGAAGAACGGAAUAGAUUGCCGCUAUGUAGUUGGCCAGGGAUACGACGGGGCAGCGGCAAUUAGCGGUCUGUUUCAUGGUGCUCAAGUGUAUGUACGGGAAGAAUGCCCUUUAGCUCUCUAUGUGCACUGCAGUUCACACUCACUGAAUCUAGCAAUAUCAGAUUCUUGCUCUCUAUCUGUCAUCCGCAAUUGUGUUGGUGUAGUGCAGUCUAUUGGUAGCUUCUUUCACACAUCAGCUCAACAUACAGACAUCUUGAAAAGACAAAUAAGAGAACUUCUUCCAACUGACCACCAAAAAACAGUUCUGGCUAUGUGUGAAACUAGGUGGGUCCACAAACAUGAUGCAGUAAUUCGUUUCAAAGAAAUUUACGAUGCUAUUGUCUCAGCAUUGGAAGAGUUGCAAGAAAGCCACAACAAUGAUACAGCGCAGAAGGCAUGUCAAAUUUUGAGUACGUUGCGAUCGACCAACUUCGUUAUAGCAUUGUUUAUAUUGGAGAAAAUCAUGAGCUAUACUAUAACCCUUUGUAAAACAACUUCAGGCAGUCGACUGUGACUUGAUAAAAGCGUUUAAUUACUUUGAUGUAAUAUUAGCUACCUUGAAACAUAUUAGAAAUAAUGCCGACGAUGAGUUCCAAACUAUUUUCGAAGCAGCUUCUAAUGCUUUGUUACAAAAUGGAGGAAUCAUACAAUUGCCUCGCAUAGCAAGAAUACAAGUGAAUCGUAUGAAUGCUCCAGCCUGCGAUGUUCAAAUCCACUACAAAAUCAACUCUUUUAUCCCAUUUGUAGAUCAUGUAAUAAGCCAUCUGAGUGAUGGGUUUUCCAAACAUUGGAAAACCAUGACUGCAUUAUGCAGCAUUUUGCCCCAAAGCUGCGUAACUUGUACUAACACAGAUAUUGACGAGUGCAUUGCUAUGUAUGCAGCAGUUCUGCCAGAAACAAAUGCUGCAAUUGUCAAAGCUGAGUUUGAAAUGUGGCAAGAAGCAUGCCGCUCUGACAACAGCACUAAGAGUGCUGUGGAAGCACUGGACCAAUGUGUACCCUAACAUCCACUGCCUCCUAAAUGUCUUGGCGACCCUUCCCGUCUCAACGGAAACUCUAUCUGCGGAACACCAUAUCUCAGGACAGACUGAAUGGAUUGGCCUUACUGAAUGUCCACUACAACAUCCACAUCGACCCGGAGAAUGUGGUUACUGAAUUUGCCAAAAAAAAUAAUACUUCUGUAAAAAGUUUGUAAGCUUAAAAAAGAUAAACAAUUAUUUUUUGGUGUUUA